rnacentral:rRNA from 1 species
UACGGAGGGGGCAAGCGUUAUUCGGAAUUAUUGGGCGUAAAGAGCGUGUAGGCGGCCAGAUAAGUCCGCUGUGAAAUCUCGAGGCUCAACUUCGAGCUGUCGGUGGAAACUAUCUGGCUAGAGUCCGGAAGAGGAGAAUGGAAUUCCUGGUGUAGCGGUGAAAUGCGCAGAUAUCAGGAAGAACACCCGUGGCGAAGGCGGUUCUCUGGGACGGUACUGACGCUGAGACGCGAAAGCGUGGGGAGCGAACAGG